AACGAACGCUGGCGGCAGGCCUAACACAUGCAAGUCGAGCGCCCCGCAAGGGGAGCGGCGGACGGGUGAGUAACACGUGGGAAUUUUCCUCAAGGUACGGAACAACUCAGGGAAACUUGGGCUAAUACCGUAUGAUGCAGAGAUGCCAAAGAUUUAUCGCCUUGGGAUAAGCCCGCGUCAGAUUAGGUAGUUGGUGAGGUAACGGCUCACCAAGCCUGUGAUCUGUAGCUGGCUGAGAGGACGAUCAGCCACAUUGGGACUGAGACACGGCCCAAACUCCUACGGGAGGCAGCAGUGGGGAAUCUUGCGCAAUGGGCGAAAGCCUGACGCAGCCAUGCCGCGUGAAUGAUGAAGGUCUUAGGAUUGUAAAGUUCUUUCGCCUGUGACGAUGAUGACGGUAACAGGAGAAGAA
rnacentral:rRNA from 1 species